UUGGCACAGAUUCAUGAUUUUGUUGCAUUUGUUUUUUGUUGUAAAGCGUCGGUGUACGUUUGGGGAAAACCAACUUUGUACUGCACAUUACGAGUAUUCUGUUGGGCAUUUUGCUUGUUGGGGUUGGGAGGAUGGUGAAGAUAAUGGUUGGGGUGGCGAAAUGGUUUACGAUGUCAGAGCGCGUACUACCAAUAUCGACCGAGCUCUAGGUUUGAGUAUUAGUAGUUGUAGUACUACAUUGUACUGAGUGUAGUGCAACUCGCAGCUGAUCGUGUUUUUUUAAUCAAUUGCAGCGCUACAUUAGUCGAUGGCUGAGCAGCGUUUGUAGUAGUAGUUGAUUCUGAUUGUGGAUGGCUUCUAGGAUUGAACGUAGUGACCCUGUAGGAGAUUUUGCGGAGGCGAUCACUCAGCAGACGAGUGUUGAUAUCUUUCUCUUCUUCUGAUUCAGUUGUGAAGCUCAGGACCACGUUUCUUUUGGCAACAGGGGAGUGGUUUUCUAACUUGUUGUUCAUCGUUGUACAUGGCCGUAAUUCCUGCUGUAAGUUUUGCAUUGUGGCUGGUUCGUAUGAAAUCCAGCACUUUCCAGAACUAUGAGCGCCCCGAAUUCAUUCCUACCCAAGUGUUGCCCAAGAGUUAUUAUCGUAAAAAAGCAACAGAUUUUUCUUUUGUUUUCUGUCUCUGUUGUGAUGAGUCAGGCCUAGCCUUUGUUGAUUGUAUUCAAUUGGGAUUUGGUAAGAUGAAGUAGGGCUCCCGGAGGAGCAGUCUAGUUUCUUCUGUUGUGGAACUUCGCUAAUCUUUCGUCAGAGCUGACAGGGAAAAGUAUGCUUAUUGAGAGCCGCUAGUUUGUGGGUGCAUGAAUUGCCGGUUUUAUUACUCACACUGAUCAGAUUGUGGAGCUGGAAUUAAUAAAAACCCAAACCUGACACGAAGAAUCAUUCCAACUGAGCGGCAUAUCUCAGCGGAGAGGUGUACGAUGAACAGAUAAAAUUCGUACGUUCCAAUUCGGCAUGGUGGUUCCUAGGUCUUCAUGCAGAGGUCAUUAAAUAGGCAUCGCUGCUGGUCUCCGGUGCAAAUUUCAAAACAUGACCUGCAUUGAAAUUCCUCCAAUGCCACCAAUCUUUUCAUGAUCAUCACCAACACCAACAGUGUUUCAUAACCUUCCAUAAGGUGUUUUCUGAAGCACUGGGAUGAAAUGCUCGUGUGGGAGAUCUGUUGCGAUGUCUGACCUAUGGACUCUGCACGUUUAUGGAGCAUGAGCGGACAAUGGAUUAGGAUUUCAGCAAGCUCAUGUACGUUGUUCCAAUUUCUGUUUGCAGGGAAGGGAUGAUGUGGAAGAGAGAGAGUGGUGGAAGGGAGGGAAGCCAGCGUGAGGCAAUGCAUGACAACAGCAUGCCCAGGAGGUCCUGAGGGUGUUGUCCUCAUGCACUGCCUCUUCCCUGGCUUCCCUACAUAGCUCGCCAUUCUUGUGCUCUGCCACUUUUCUGGAUUUCGUUUGUCUUGCUCCGUUCGUACACUCUCUAGGAUGAAUUCUGUUUUCGGCUUCAUCAUCUAAGCUCUUUGUGGAGUAGCUUCAAUGAGCUUGAAUUACGAAACAGCAGUGGCUUAGAUGUGGACACUGUUCAUUGAAGUCAAUGUAAGGCAAUGACAGUACGUACCGGUUCAGACGAACUUAGGGCUUCUUAAUACUCCUAUAACCAAUUGCUGCGUGCAGAAGCUUAACACCGUCGUUCCUCACUCAAAAAUUGAUCAAAUCACAUUCCAACAUCUUCUGACAUUUUGUUGCAAGCAUCUUGUGAAAGUUAAGCUAAUCAACGUAAGCCGGUAAAUCCUUCAAAUCUGCACUGGACUUGCUGUGAGGAGACUGCAUGCGAAUGUGGUAAAAGACGGGAUGCUGGAGCGAGUUCAUCUUGAGAUUAUGUUGGCAUCAAUGCAGAAUGUAUGUAGCGUCAUUGACGCUCGUAUCCCCGUAUAAUACUAGUGCAGGGAGUAUUCUUAUUUUUCCAUAUCUUAACUGAUUUUUUUCGGAAGAUCACGCGAACAUGCAUCCUCAGAGUCUAACUGCUCUCUGCUGCAGUAUGUUGUGAUGCCGUAUAUUGGUGUUCGGCUCCACUUCCCUCCAAACAGAGGAACUUUUGGAACUACUUGUGAUGGUUAAUAACUUACAGACUGCAGGUUUUGUGAACAGUUCCAAAUUCGACAAUUUCUGCACUGGAAAUUGCAGCGUCUUUUCUUUGUUCCUUAGAUGUUGUUGUUGAAAUUAUAUUCUCAACAUAUGAGUUAUUUGAAGAUCGAAAAUCCAAGUCAUCAUCUACAUUGCGACACACUAGAAGCCAAUUAGGAUGAAGUAUCUAACAAAGCCUGUGCAACGGCCUGUGAAAGGUGUAGAAACAUGCAACUCAUCAGGCGAGGGACAAUGUUUGUUGACUAGCUUAUGGCAGGGACGGGCCAGUGAUCUGUUAUGUGGAUGUAGGUUGAAACUGAGCAGCAUAGCAGACUGAUUUUAACGUGGAAGAAUGAACACAUGAAUGAUAUUAACGUCCACGAUGUAAAUCUAAUGCAGAAUUGUUGCUGGGAUUAACUUCAGUUUCAGACACAAAGUUAAUGACUGUGGAAACCCAGUUCACUACUGUGCUACUUCGUGGGCGUUAAUACAUUUCAUAUGUUCACUCUACCAUUCAAUCGUCUGGACUAACAAGUUUGUGCAUCAAUUGGUGGAGUUGAUCGAAGACUACAUGUGGUUGCACUGUAGGUUGUUCACAUGAUCUUUCAACAGAACAGAAAUCUGGUUGGAAUUUCCUGGGUUGUUGGAACCUCCAGGAAUGCAGUAGCUACAGGGUAGUUUAGCCAACAAUGUUAGACAGGCUGCACAGAUUGCACCCUCGAUAGAUGCUGUAGUCAACGUGUAGCAACCUAUACAUGCAGAUGACGAGAAUUAGUUCAACUGUUUUUUUUUUCUCAAGCACUGCUAGGCUCUGAUUUUUUAGGGUGUUUUGGGCCUUCUCUUUGGCAGAUAUAAAUGAACAAUUCCUUUCCUCUCUGUUUUUCUGUCAAUUUUUUUUAGAAACUGAUUCCUUUCAA